rnacentral:rRNA from 1 species
GAUGAACGCUGGCGGCGUGCCUAAUACAUGCAAGUCGAACGAAGAUCUAGCUUGCUAGAUCUUAGUGGCGAACGGGUGAGUAAUACAUAAAUAAUCUGCCCAUAUGACUGGGAUAACUAUUGGAAACGAUAGCUAAUACCGGAUAGGUUAAUCGGAGGCAUCUCUGAUGAAUUAAAGUAGGAUUUCUACACAAAUGGAUGAGUUUAUGGCGCAUUAGUUAGUUGGUGGGGUAACGGCCUACCAAGACGAUGAUGCGUAGCCGACCAGAGAUGGUGACCGGCCACACUGGGACUGAGACACGGCCCAGACUCCUACGGGAGGAAGAAGUAGGGAAUUUUCGGCAAUGGGCGCAAGCCUGGCCGGGCAACGCCGCGUGAGUGAUUAAGGCCUUCGGGUUGUAAAGCUCUGUUGUAAGGGAAGAACAUUCAGGAUAGGAAAUGAUCUUGAACUGACGGUACCUUACCAGAAAGCCACGGCUAACUACGUGCCAGCCGCCGCAGUAAAAC